AUUCGAUACAGUUACAGGGAAGGUAAUGACGUUGCUAACGUAAAAUGUUAUUUUCGCGACGUCAAACUAUGACAUAUCGAGAAAAGAUGCAUUUUUCGACUGAUUUUUAUCAUUCAAACUGAUUUAAUUUGAAAACAAGUGCAUGGACCCCUAUUUUUUAAAACAGCAAUUUGUUUCAUUUUGCAAGGAGAUUAUGUGACCCAAAUUUAUAAAACUG
rnacentral:lncRNA from 1 species